AGCUAAUACAUGCACCUUUCGGUACGUGGCUUGCUGCGUAUCGUUGCAUUUAUUUGACUAAUACCAACCGUGUGAGCAAUCACAUGUGGUGAAUCUAGAUAACUGUGCAGAUCGUACGGCUUUGAGCUGGCGACAUUUCGAUUGAGUUUCUGCUCUAUCAACUUGAGGCGAGAAUAAAGUUCUCACCUGGUGAUAACGGAUAACGGGGAAUCAGGGUUCGAUUCCGGAGAGGGAGCCUGAGAAACGGCUACCACAUCCAAGGAAGGCAGCAGGCGCGCAAAUUACCCAAUCCAGACAAUGGGAGGUGGUGACGAAAAGUACCGAAUGGCAGCCAAUGGUUGUCAGUUUGGAAUGAAACCAAUUUAAGCAAUUGAAUUGAGUAACUACUGGAGGGCAAGUCUAGUGCCAGCAGCCGCGGUAAUUCCAGCUCCAGUAGCGUAUCUCAAAGUUGCUGCGCUUAAAACGCUCGUAGUUGAAUCACACACUGCUUGGUGGUGGAUCGUGAGAGUGUACAAGUCUUUCUGUUGUCGGGUGAUGUGUCCUCACUUCAUCUCGAAGCAGCGAGGGUGCAUUCUUGCGGUUAUUAGCCAACAAGCAGCAUUUUGCACGUAAGGAUGGACGUUGAUCUUGAGUGCAUCGACGUUCGUGUCUUACGGAGUGUCCCUUGAGUAAAUCAGAGUGCUUAAAGCAGGCUUGACGCUUGAAUGUUAUUAGCAUGGAACGAACAAUAGUGUAUGGUGUGUGUUGACCACGGUGGUCGCGUAAGUGUCCACUGCAACACACGACACCGAUCACCAAUUACGGAUGUUGGUUCCGUAUUGGGGUAAUGAUUAAGAGGAGCGGUUGGGGGCAUUGGUAUUUGGCAGCGAGAGGUGAAAUUCUUAGACCUGCCAAGGACUAACAAAUGCGAAGGCAUCUGUCCAGACCGUUUCCAUUAAUCAAGAACGAUAGUGAGAGGUUCGAAGACGAUCAGAUACCGUCCUAGUUCUCACUGUAAACGAUGCCGACCCGGGAUCAGUUUGGUGCAAUAUUCCAAGCUCGAGGUUGAUCCCCCUGGGAAACCUAAAGUUUUUCGGUUGCGGGGGGAGUAUGGUCGCAAGGCUGAAACUUAAAGGAAUUGACGGAAGGGCACCACCAGGGGUGGAGCCUGCGGCUUAAUUUGACUCAACACGGGAAAACUUACCUGGUCCGGACAUCAAAAGGAUAAACAGACUGACAGCUCUUUUUUGAUAUGAUGAUUGGUGGUGCAUGGCCGUUCUUAGUUCGUGGAGUGAUUUGUCAGGUUAAUUCCGGUAACGAACGAGACCACUUUCUCCAUUUGAAGAGUCGGAAAAGGUGCCGAUGUGCGACUGGUUUGGCAACAAAUUAGUUACUCAUUGACUCUGUUGGUAGGGUGAGUGGGGAUGGGGAAUUGACGGUUUUACGGCAACGUGAGGCUGGCGGUGAACUAUCAAAUCCACUUAUUCUCCUUCCGGCAUGACAGUGUGCGGUCUACUCGAUUCGUGUACUGUAUCAUGGAGAGACAACGGAACAUAUAAAAAAAUCCGAGGAAGUGUGGCGAUAACAGGUCUGUG
rnacentral:rRNA from 1 species